CAUUGAAGGAUGUGUGUGUGUUUCAGCUUUGUUUACAUUCCUGAAAGAGCAUGGCUGUGCUUUAAUGUAUUCAUUUCUCUCUCGCCCUCUACCUCAGAUCAGGAUCUAACAACGCAGGUGAGGGAGGUGUGGGACAUUGAGGCUGGAACCCAGUCGGGACUGUCUCAUCCCCAGCAUGGGAGAUGGUUUUUAUAGAAAAGCUCAGGGCUAUGUGAUGCUCUUCAUCAAAGCUUGUAGGAAUGUAACGAAACAGCCCAACAUCUGAUUCAACCUUUGAUUUGACUCCGAAGGUGAUGGAGUAAACUCACAGGCUGCAGGUCGUUCAUGCUGAUCGGAAGCUCCCUCAGAAUCAGCAGCAGGUCGAGCUGCGUGUUCAGGCAGGGGAUGUUGCACAUCUGUAGCAGGGAGAAGAGAAAGGCACUGUGGGCUGAUCCUGCUGUUCAUCUGUUGCCCCUUCUGCAGCCUUUAGCUAACCACACACAGGCCAAAGAUCUGCCAGGCAUGCUGGGAGGUGAUAACUAGAUGAAUGGUAAGAGCUUGUCAUGACACCCACAGUGUGUGAAUGAGGAGGCAGGUGAACGUCGACUCAACAAGUCCUUCCUAAAGAAAGUGCUACAUGAGCAGAUGCUGCGUUAGAUUCUGCUUGGUUCAUGCUGCCACCAGUCAAAUUCAAAGGAAAUUACCAUCUUAAUUCUGGUAAUCAUACUUCUAGUUAAUAUGGGGAAAUAAAAAGCGUACCUCCAGC